rnacentral:rRNA from 1 species
AGAGUUUGAUCAUGGCUCAGGAUGAACGCUAGCGGCAGGCCUAAUACAUGCAAGUCGAACGCUCAGUAGCAAUACUGGGAGUGGCGCACGGGUGCGUAACGCGUACACAAUCUACCUCUAAGCGGGGGACACCUCCUGGAAACGGGGAUUAAUACCGCAUAAUAUGCCGAGGUCGCAUGACUUUGGUAUUAAAGCAGCAAUGCACUUAGAGAUGAGUGUGCGUCCCAUUAGGUAGUUGGUGAGGUAACGGCUCACCAAGCCUAUGAUGGGUAGCCGGUCUGAGAGGAUGGUCGGCCACACGGGCACUGAGACACGGGCCCGACUCCUACGGGAGGCAGCAGUAAGGAAUAUUGGUCAAUGGUGGAAACACUGAACCAGCCAUGCCGCGUGGAGGAAUAAGGUCCUACGGAUUGUAAACUCCUUUUGACGAGGAAGAAAGUGUUAGAUUUAUCUAACUUUGACGGUACUCGUAGAAUAAGCACCGGCUAACUCCGUG